UUGAAAAGUCAAUUCCUCGCGGAAGGGAAAUAAUAUACAGUGUCUCCUUCAGGCUGACACUCGGGCCGCCUGGUGCAGGGGGCUGUUUACUCGCUAGGGAGAGACCUCAGAGCUCCCACUGCCUUUUCUGUCUGGGGAUUUCUAUGCUGUAGCCAGCGCUGCACAAAAUCAAGUCUGCGGCUGCAAAAUCUGCUCCAGCCGAAGAGGUCUGAUUGACCCCCGGAGACUCUAUGGAUGACUGGAGAACUAGCAUGUUGAUGACAUCACAGAUCCCAAUGAAGUGAAACCACAUUCGCUGAGAGGGGAAAUUGUUUUUUUUCAGCCUCUUUAACCCUGGCUCCAGUUUGGUUUUCGGAUCGCCCGUUUAACUCAAACACCCAGCAAAACGAUAGAAGAGAUGACAUUUUUGUUAAAGAUUCAUAUUCCCCUGACCCUUGCAUUAAAGACUGAGAAAAUGGCCACCGCACAGCUGAGACCCCGCCCCUCAGAAGAGUAAAGGCACAGUGCAGAGGAAUAGCAUCACCACUUCACUCUGUAUACACAGCAAAGGGCUGACAAUUGUUCCCUCAUGGUGGUGGAAACACUGCUCCCCCAGGAGAUCCAAAGGAGCUGUGAAGUGUGUCCCAGGUGCCCUGUUUGCAUCCUCUGUCCCCAACAUAGAAGUGUUGACCUGCAGGCUGCCAGGAGUGGGUUGAUGGCCGUCUUACGCUAAUGUAACUUCCCAGCUAGUGGACUUACAUAUCCCUGGGGCUCUAAACUCACUGGCCCAAACUGAAUGGAGCCCUAAGCCUUUAUACAAUCUACCACUCAGUUGCUGAUAAAUAAAAAAGACUCGGAGCUUUCUGUUGUCAUUUACAACAGUGCAAAGUGAGUGUAUAAUGCCACCAAAUCUUGGAUGAGCUUUUCACAGCCCCCAAAGGACACCUAUUUCCCAUUCACGCAGUUGAAUGGGAUCUGGCUGUUCAAAUCUCUCCGGUGCCUUUGAGAAUGUCAGCCCUACUCGCUCUCAGAAGGCAAAUGAAAAGAACCCAUUAUUAUUAUUUUUUUUACUCUCAUCAUUUUAAAGACACUCUCAAGAUUUUGACCCCUUGAGGUUGGAAAUGCAGUACAGCACUCGUGAAAGGGUUUCCUGCCACGUGACCACCCACCAACUGAGAGCUGGUAGCGUUCAUGUGAUCUGUCAAUGUUCAAUGCUAUCAGAUGAUUUUUUUUUUUGGACUCCCCAAUUUCAGAUAAAUUGCGUUUCCUUAUUAGGCUGUCAGGGCAUCGUUUGAACCUGGAACUUUGGUUACUUUCAGUGCCAGGGUGGCGUUAGCAUCCUGGUGUAGUUCAGGGGCGGAGUUAGAACCUUAGUGUAGUUCGGGGGUGGGGGGCAGAGGGAAUGUUAGAACCUGGGUGUGUUUCAAUGGCAGGGGGGGCAGUGUUACCCCCAGGCUGAUAAAGAUUUUCAUGGAAUUUGGGAGUGCAAAAGACCAUUGUACUGCCAACAUAGUUCAGAAGCGUUUUGUUAGCUCUAGGCAGAAUUUCCCGACAGAAUGUUUGUUGUUUAUGUUCGAGAUGGACAAAGCUCUGUGGGAGGAGUGGGCUUGGAUCUGGUUCCUGUAUUUAGAUGAAACCAUAGCCCCCUCUCACGCCAAAACCUUAGGAAAGUGGAAGCGUUCAGAGAGAUGGUUCAGGUGUUGCUCCAGCUGGUUUAUUUAUAUACGGCUAUAUCCCCAUCUGUGCUGAAUUACCAAUCCUUUGAGUUGAUUUAUGUGUGUCCUUAUUGCCUCAUUCUCAAUCAGGCUCAUUCGUGCUUUCCUUUAUUUUUCCAAUCCUUCCUUCUGGGCUGCUGUGUUAAUCACCUGAGAUGAGAGAAGCUGUCUGUUGUCAUGGCGACUCCAUCUCUGCUCUGGGCUUCCUGGGCAUUCUUUCAGCGUAUGGCGUCCAGGUGCAGUUUCUCUGGCCACUGUUACAGUUGUUCUUGAAUGUCAUGCAAACAAAGCAGAGUGCCCAGAGGCCUGCUGGUUUUUGUGAGCUGUCAUUGGAGAGAGAUGGGUCAGCAGAGGAAAAAGAGCUGUGACGAAUUAGACAGCAGUUGCUGUUCCAAAGCUCUUUAGCUGCUGAUAAAUGGAGCGGAGACUGCAAGUGACUCCAGAGGAGCCAGUGAGGCUUUCAGAUCGGGCGUGUGUGUUGUGAUUAGCAGAUGGUGGCACGAACCCGGGUUUCAUUUGUGUCCUCAGCCCUCAAGCUCGCUGUGAUACAGACAGGAAGGGGUGGGACUGACUGGCCGGCAAGGUCAGGCAGAGAUGUACAGCACUGAUGAGGAGAUCUUAAUCAGAGAUCAUUGUAAAUUCUCCUCUCAAAUGGACUGGAAUAAAGCUAUGAAGCUAAUAUAACAUCA